GCAGAAGGAAACAGCCACUAUGCCUGGCUUGAGCAUGUGAGACCUCAGAUUCCUGCCCCCAGUGACACACUUCCUCCAACAAGGCCAUACCUCCUAGUAGUGUCACUUCCUGUGGGCCUAUGGGGGCCAUUUUCUUUCAAGUCACAACAAAGGAUGUGAACCGCAGCUGAGAAGACAGACACUAAUGAAGUACUUUAGAAAUGCAAAGAAAAGUAUACUGGGGACAUGGAUCCAGAGAACAAGUUGCUGCGUGUGAGCAUGGUUGUGUCAGGGGUCUCCAGGAGGAGCUGAACCACAGAAGGAACAAGCAUUAGAAGGAGUUGAAAGGUGCCACUCUUCAGCAAACCUCUUCGACUCUUCCUUCAAAACACAUUUGGAAUUUGACCUUCUUCCUGUCAGCACUGCUCUGGAGUUUCCAGCCGUCUUUAUUCUCCAUCCAGGUCACAAUGAAACUCAGACUGUGCAGAGAGUUCCCAUCUGACUGAGCAAGGGCCAGAGCCCUCUCAAGGGCUCUGUGGGGCUCUCGCCUCGCUUAGCCUACUUCUGCCUCUACCUCCUCACUCUGUUCACUGCACCACUGCCCUCCGCUCCUGCCAGUCCCUCCAACACACCAAGCACACUCCUGCUGGGCUGCAGAGGACUUGCACCUUGACUGAGCCCAGAGCACACAUUCUACAGCAACGUCUGUCCAUCAACGUCUGUCCAUCAAAACCCAAGAACAUCCUCCCCACCCCAAGACAUGAUCAGUCAUGCCAACAGCCCCCUAAUGACAAGCCAGUUACAUACACAAGCUAAAGAUGCACUCAGUUCCCCUGCUCCAGGCCUGCCAGGGACCUGCCUCUGUGUACCCUCCAGAGUCCAUGCCUAGCACCAGCCCUCAGCUACCAAUGCCUCCGGGUAGAUGUCUCUCAAGUCUCUCAGUUAAGGUCUGAUGGCCCAGUAAAGUCCCUUCAGCAGCUCUAUUGCACUUCUAAGCAGCUUUGAUCACCCAGUCACACCCUUAAAUGCCAUUCCAACACAGAGAUAAUGGAAUUCUUGAAGGUCAAACGGUUUAUUGAUCUAGGUUGGCAGUACCAGGGCAGGGGCUUCCUGAAGUUUCUGUCUGCAGUAAGCUAGGAGGCAGUGGCUUCGUUUCUGCAGAGGCAGAAUAUUUAGGCCCAAAAGGCAGAAGGGACUUCCAGCAACUCUAAAAGCACACUGACUGUCACUUUCUGCUCAUAAACUAAAUUGGACUGGGCCUCACCCCUGGGAAGGGCCAUGAGACAGAGGUAGCAGUUUCUUUCCCGGGUGAUCAAUUCCACCCCACAUCCAGCUUCAUUCUGGUGUUUAUUUAUUUCUCUAGACUUUCCCAGCUUGUCAGUCCAAUCGCCUUGAGACACAGCCUGGAACUGUAACAGCCAAUUACAGUGCAGAAGCAUCGAGACCUGAUGGGUAU
rnacentral:lncRNA from 1 species